CCCUACGGGGCGCAGCAGUGGGGGAUAUUGCACAAUGGGGGAAACCCUGAUGCAGCGACGCCGCGUGAGUGAAGAAGUAUUUCGGUAUGUAAAGCUCUAUCAGCAGGGAAGAAGAUGACAGUACCUGAGUAAGAAGCCCCGGCUAACUACGUGCCAGCAGCCGCGGUAAUACGUAGGGGGCAAGCGUUAUCCGGAUUUACUGGGUGUAAAGGGAGCGUAGACGGCGAUGCAAGUCUGAAGUGAAAGGCGGGGGCCCAACCCCCGGACUGCUUUGGAAACUGUAUAGCUGGAGGGCAGGGGAGGUA
rnacentral:rRNA from 1 species